CCUUCGGGGUACACGAGCGGCGAACGGGUGAGUAACACGUGAGCAACCUGCCCCUGACUCCGGGAUAAGCGGUGGAAACGCCGUCUAAUACCGGAUACGACCCGCCACCUCAUGGUGGAGGGUGGAAAGUUUUUCGGUCAGGGAUGGGCUCGCGGCCUAUCAGCUUGUUGGUGGGGUAACGGCCUACCAAGGCGAUUACGGGUAGCCGGCCUGAGAGGGCGACCGGCCACACUGGGACUGAGACACGGCCCAGACUCCUGCGGGAGGCAGCAGUGGGGAAUAUUGCGCAAUGGGCGAAAGCCUGACGCAGCGACGCCGCGUGGGGGAUGACGGCCUUCGGGUUGUAAACCUCUUUUACCACCAACGCAGGCUCCCAGUUCUCUGGGGGUUGACGGUAGGUGGGGAAUAAGGACCGGCUAACUACGUGCCAGCAGCCGCGGUAAUACGUAGGGUCCGAGCGUUGUCCGGAAUUAUUGGGCGUAAAGAGCUCGUAGGCGGCGUGUCGCGUCUGCUGUGAAAGACCGGGGCUUAACUCCGGUUCUGCAGUGGAUACGGGCAUGCUAGAGGUAGGUAGGGGAGACUGGAAUUCCUGGUGUAGCGGUGAAAUGCGCAGAUAUCAGGAGGAACACCGGUGGCGAAGGCGGGUCUCUGGGCCUUACCUGACGCUGAGGAGCGAAAGCAUGGGGAGCGAACAGGAUUAGAUACCCUGGUAGUCCAUGCCGUAAACGUUGGGCGCUAGGUGUGGGGACUUUCCACGGUUUCCGCGCCGUAGCUAACGCAUUAAGCGCCCCGCCUGGGGAGUACGGCCGCAAGGCUAAAACUCAAAGGAAUUGACGGGGGCCCGCACAAGCGGCGGAGCAUGUUGCUUAAUUCGACGCAACGCGAAGAACCUUACCAAGGUUUGACAUCACCCGUGGACUCGCAGAGAUGUGAGGUCAUUUAGUUGGCGGGUGACAGGUGG
rnacentral:rRNA from 1 species